rnacentral:lncRNA from 1 species
GAGAGGGCAGAACCGUAAUUUCAAAGACGAUUCGAAGAGCGUAGCUUCAGACAGUAAACAAGCAGCUCCAUGUCCCCUUCCAAGAAACAACACCGAACACAACAAACUCACAGUCUCUGCUUCAACAACCUCCGAUGUUCUCUACCUCGGAAACGUCGCCAAUUUCGUCAAACCGGAGUCUCCUGAGAUCUGUCCUCUCCCGCCAUUAUCCUCUCGCAGCUUCAAGCAACAAAGCUCCGAAGAAGAAGAAGACGACUUCUACUCGCCUCUCGCGUCUCAAGCUGGUAAAGAAUCACGAGAGCUGAGAAACUACUCUUCCUCGGAUUCUCCUGCCACGUCACCACCGUCCGUUGACAUAUCUCCGGUGAGGAGCAACAAAAGAAACCACGUGGCGUCGUCUCUGAGAACGUUCACCCUCUGGAACCAGAACCACGCCUUCCCACGCAUCUCCUCUGCUUCCACUUCACCUGAGAGAGGAGGAGGAGUAGGAGGCACGAUUCGAACCCCGGACGCUUACGCUCGCUCCUCCAUGUACUCUUCGGUCUCCACCACUCCUGAUCGUUUCUUCCGUAAGGUUCUCGAAGCCUCCUCCCCGCCGAGGUGGAACGACUUCAGCCGAAACGUCAAGUCUUUGUUCCUCUCUUCCGCUUCUUCUCCCGCUAGAGAUUUUUGCAUCGACAACGUCUCUGAAGCUUCUUCAAGAAAGUUGAAGUCUUCUUGGGAAAAACCAGAGCUUGAUAUUGAAUCAGCUGCUCCUCCUCCUCCGGAACGGCCACCGCCGCCUGCAAUGCCGGCGCCGCCUCCUCUUGUACCGCCGUCGCAGUCUUUUAUGGUUCACAAGUCUGGAAAGAAGCUGUCUUGGGAUGGAGCAACGAAGAUGAAGCCUCUGCCCUGGGAGAGGGUCCACCGACCGAGUUCUUGUCGGAAAAACACAUGGGAGAGUCUCAAGUUCAACUCUUUCAAUGCUAAUCCGAAGCAGAGAAGUCUUAGCUGUGAUCUUCCAAUGUUUAAUCAAGAAAGUAGAGUUUUGGAUCCUAGAAAGUCUCAGAGUAUUGCUUUUCUACUAUCAACACUUGAUCUCACCACAGAUGAUGUUCUUCAAGCCCUUCGAGAUGGUAAUAUCAUCAGUUACAAAGCUUAUUGUAUGAGUUGAAUCUGAGUUUGUAUUUUCUGAAUCAGGGCACUAUGAAGCGCUUGGAGUUGAGCUUCUUGAGAGUUUAUCAAGAGUGGCACCGAGUGAAGAGGAAGAGAGGAAGUUGAAGAGCUAUAGUGAUGACAAGCUUCCCCCUUCAGAGAAGUUUCUCAAGGAAUUGCUUAAUGUGCCUUUCGUGUUCAGAAGGGUUGAUGCAUUGCUCUUUGUUGCUACUUUUUAUUCCAAGGUUGAACAUUUAAAACAAUCAUUUGGCGUUAUACAGGUACUAUAAUAUAACAAAGCUAAAUUUAAUGAGAGAGACGUAUGAAUCUUGUGUCUCAUAAAGCUAUCUGAUUCUUUUGCAGGCUGCUUGUGAGGAGCUACGGAACAGCAGAAUGUUACUGAAGCUUAUUGAAGUUGUCUUAGAGACAGGAACGAAGAGCGUGAAUGCUCAAGACUUCAAACUUGAGGCGUUGUUAGAUGGUUCCACCACUCUCUUGCAUUCUGUUGUAGAGAACAUCAUAGAAUCAGAAGGUAUCAAAGUGUUGCAAGUUGUCAGACAUCUCGGUUUAGUACUUGUAGACGUCAAGAAAACUGCAGAAAUGGACUAUGGUGUUCUGAGAAGCGAGGUGGCAAAGCUUUAUCAAGGAGUCCAGAGCGUUAAGGAGGUUCUGCUACUGAGUGAUGAUGAAGAACAAGAAUGUGGGGAAUUCAAGGAGACGGUGACCAAGUUCUUGGAAACCGCUGUGAAGGAGGCUAAAAAGAUUGAAACAGAAGAUGGUUCCACGCUCUUAGCAGUGAAAGAGAUCACAGAGAUGUUCCAUGGAGAUUCAGCAAAGGAAGAAGCUCAGCUAUUGAGAGUGUUUGUGAUUGUUAGAGACUUUAUGUCCAUUCUAGAUAAAGUGUGCAAGGAAAUGGAGGUUGAGUAGAGAAAGAGAGUACUCUGGUUUAGGUUUCAAGUGUAAGGAAGAUCCUAGAAUCUGUCCAAAGACUGAUGAUGAUGCAUUGUGUUGCCUCCUUAAUUAGUUAUGUGUACUUAUGUUUGUAUGAAUCAUUGGAACUAUGACUUCUUAAAUGAAGUUUUUACUUGAUUUCUGUAUCAAAGCAAAUCAAAUGUAUAAUCUCAAUCAAUGUUCAAAAAAUCGCUAGACGGUGAUUAUGCAUUUCAUAGAAGAUUACUGAUUAAGCGAGCGCUUAGACUUUUAGAACACUGAUCUCAGUGGAUAUACUUCCAUAAUACAAGCAAGGAAGAUAAACAUAGUUCAAGAGUUGUAGGUUAUUAUACCAAACCAAAUCUACCAUCAAUCAAUUUAAACAAAAUGUUAUAAACAUGGGAAAAGGCUGUCUACUUUAGUGAUUCUAAGACUAUAUGCUUGCAACUCUGAACAUAUGAGUGUUCUUGUGUAUCUGUCAACGGAACCUAAACUAUUCAUAUCAAUCUGGAGAAACAAAGCUACACUCCCUCUAAAUACCGUCAAGGAUUCCAUCAAUCGCUUGGAAGAUCUUAGAGGCCACAGUCUCAUCGUCUGUUGUAAUAGCAGUACCCAUCUCUGAGGUCUCUAUCAUUCCACCGCUAGGAUUUGUUAUAUAGAUAAUACUCUUGCCUUCUGCUCCAUUCUCACCUCUCCUGUGUUCUAUCGAUCCGAUUACACUCAUCUUCAUUAACGCAUCCAAAAGUGUUUCAGGAGCCACAGUGCCCCAAUGCCUCAAUGACCGAGUCUUUCCUGAACUUCCUUCCUGAUCCAACCCGGAAACCAAUCUAUGUUUCCCAUUUUCCAUCACAAAGUCACCUUUUAACCUCGCAAUACCAAAGUUUUCACGCUGUCUGAGUUUCUUCCAGCUCAGUUUGGUGGCUAACUCUGCCAUUAUCUCUACGUCUGCAUUCUCUGCAAUUCUUCCCACACUUAGCAUCUUGUUCUCGGAGUAACUCAGGAUAGAUUUUGUCUUCACCGUAGAAAGGUUGAUCCUCUGGUUGACAACAUCAGGGACCUGUUUACAAAAUGCCAUCAGACUGAUGAAUACAGACAGAGUCAACAAAGCAUAGGAAUUGAAUCGUUACCAAAACAAUCUUUGGCUUCAAAAGGGAAAGAAGUGUUGGGAACUUCUGCAACCUGCAAAAUAACUUAAUAGUAUUGAGCAAUGCUGACAAGCAAGUUUACAGACAGGCAAGAUCUUACCUAAUUCCAGAAAGAAAUGAACAUUGGAGAAUCUUCAUAGCGAUUGGUCUGAAGGGGAGAAGUCCUAAACCUGAACUGAUACCGUCCUGCAACAAUAUUUUCUCAUCAGAUAUAUUGACUAAAGAUUCACAUUGGAUCAUCUUAUUGAGGAAGAGAGAAAUAGAUUUAAAAAACCUCAAGAACAAGCAGUGAUUUAGGAUCUCCACGCCAAUGCUGAAGAAGUUGGACAGAAGGACCAAGCCGCAAACUCCAGUGAGGAGCAAACACGAUGCAUGGUUCUUGCCAACUUGUUCUGUUUUGCCAUAAACGUAAAUAAUAGUUAUACUUUACUUUGUAUCUGAACUAGGCAAUGGCUUAUGGUGAACCAAGAUGAUAUUUUCAGUUACAAAUUAGCAUAUGAAACAUUGCAUGUAGGCCUAAGAAUAUGAAAACCAAUACUAGGAAACAACAAAGUCUUACAUUAAGUUGGGUGAGUGAAUGGCAGGAAACAAAUGGAUCUUCUUGUCUUUGAUGAAUUUAAGAUGAUCAAAUGAAGGUUCUCCUGAAAUUAACUGUGACAUGGAUCAAAACAUUAUAUAAAAUCUACUAUUUGAUUCAUCAUUUAAAUAAACAAGUCAGAUAAGUAUAUAUACCUUCUCCUGUCGUUGCUCGCACAGCCACUCUGGUAUGGUGUUUGCGUAUGCCAAUAGCUCUUCUGCCACAGAAGAUAUUACAAAUAUUGGAACCUAAGCAAAUAACAAUGUCAAAUAAGAACUUUUACCAUUUUAAAUGUGAUUCAUAUCCUCAAAAAGUUAAAAGAGCAGAAUAAAAAGAAAAAGGUAAAUCAAACCUUAAGAGAAGAGGACUCAAUAGAGUUUGACAUUAGCUCUAAGAGCUGCAGAACUAUCCCCACUCGAGUAAUCGUUAUUAAGGUUGAACCACCAGCAUCCGCAGAUUCUGCAGCACAUAAGCAGACAAAAGCUAGCUUCUCUAGCUCUCCUAAGCUUUCUUCAUUGUCUAGUAACGAAGCAGUCAAUCUCUCGUCAUUAUUCUCACUGCAGUAAAGAAAACGUCAUCGACUCAUAAGACCCAAACAAACAACAUCAUAUCAUAAAUGUAGUAAGAGAGUCUUAUAUGAAUGUAUGUACCUGAUUGUUGAUAUACAAUCACUAUCAGUCAUUUCUGCGGAUUGGAGGCAUGAGAAACCAGAGUAAAUCAUCACAUCGGUUCCUUUGAGACCAUGGAAGUCGAAAUUUUUCGAAUGAUGUGAAACGAAGAUGGAGUCUGACACAUAACUUAAACUUCCAUUAGGGCCAUUGAUCAACCAAUUGCAAGCCCCAAUAUCUAGACCUGAACUUAGAGCCUUAAUGAUCAACGUCCCAUUAUAACAAACUUCUUCUGCAAACUUUACAUCUUGAACCUUCUUCAUGCAAUUCUUUACGUCAUCUAAACUGAAGAAAAGAAUGAAUUAACGAAGCAAUCAACACUAUAGAGAAGCCAAUAACAAUUACCUGUAUAGACGCAUCCAACUGCCUAGAUCAUCACCAUUCUCACCAAAGACGAGAUUCUUGAGCACACUUGGUACUUGUUCACCAUCUAAAUUCUUUGUCCACCAAGGAAAGCUGGAGUCCUCAGGUCCGUGUAAGCGUCUGAACUCCAUGUGCAUAGAGACAAGAUCUUCCAUCAUGAGCUGACCAAUCUUAGCCGUUGCUUCAGUCAUAUAAAUCUACAUCUUAAGAACUCAGCACAAGGCACACCCCAAAGCAGAACAAGUUACAUGCAUGAAAACGUUUUACCUUGGCGCAGAAUCUUGGGUUUUGAGUAAGGAAUGGCAAUCCAAGCAAUCCCAUAGGGUUGGAGAUGAGAACUAUAUCAAUUAAAGAAACCUCCCACAAAUGCAAGGUCUUCACAGUUUUGUACCACGGCUCUGCGGACACCAAGUCAUCAGGAGUCAUCUGUCUCUCCAGUUUCUGCUUCUUUUGAAUUGAACUCUGAUCAUUCUGACCAUAAGCUUCAAUACCCACAUCACAUGGAACAGGAGAGAAGAUUGUGAUUGCUAAAAGGUCCAAAGGGCAGUCGAUCAAGAUCCUGAAACCGCUUAGGUUCAGCAUGUGGCAAGGUGGGUAGUGAAAGCCAUCUCCUUUGCUCAGACAAGUCUACAAUACACACACACACGCAAAGCUUUCGUAUUUACCCAACAAUUCAGACAAAAGGUGUAGACUUUUACAUUAAAGUUAUGCAAUAAACAAGAGAAACUCACCAAGUCCAUGGAGAUAAAUAAAACAACAGUAGAAUCUGUCGGAAGCUAAUAUCGUAAGCACUUCUAUACGAAUUGUCUCCAAAGGAAAGAGAAGAACAUCAAAGAGGUUCAAAGUCAGAGCUUUUCUAGAGGAUAAAGUGGCGGCGGUUAGUUAAUGGAAGGCGGAGAUGGAGGUUGAAGCGGCGGGUUUAUUUCGAAUAGGUUCGGUUCGGUUCGGUUCGGUUUAUAUAAAACUAAUUUCGAUUUAAUUUUCUGGUUUCGGGUUUAUUUACGGUUGGUUCGGUUUAUAUUGACUAGAUUCGGUUCGGUUUAAUUGCUUUGAUUUCGUAGAGACGGUUUAAAUUCUCUGAUUAUGUUCGGUUCGGUUUAUAUUAACUAAAUUCGAUUUGGAUUCUCUGGUUCGGUUCGGUUUAGUUGCUUUUGAUUUCGUAGCGACGGUGUUGCUGAUCAUUUGCUUCCUCCGAUGGAUUCAGCUGGAGAGGUCGUCAACGACGGCAAAAUCACUCUCGAGGGUUUCACCGUAGCUGCUCGAGCUUUCGCCGAUAAAUGGAAAAGACAUAACCUUUCGUUCCCUCCAUGGUCAUGGAUUCCUCUGAUCAACCGAACGAUGCUAAAGGUCAACGUCGAUCAAUACUAGCCUCCAUUAUCAAGACACCGUUUUUACAUUAGAUUCGUAUUUGUUGUGUUAUCAGAAGGAGGAAGGUUACUUAUCGCUAGAGAAAAUCAUCAUUCUCAGCUCACUUGAGGUAAAGUCACAACCUUUCAUCUUCUUCCUUCGUUUAUAGGACUGUUCGUUUGGUUGCCGCAAGUACCGGCGGCAGCGGCAGCGUCAACAUUCUGCGUCAAACUCUUGUUCGUUUCGUUGACGCAGGAACCAACGGCAGCGGCAGCGGCAGCGUCCGAACGCUGCGUCCUGCGGCUGACGCCGAUAAAACCGGCGGUCGCGAUAUGAUAUGCGGCAGCGUCAGCGUCUGCGAAACGAACAACAAUUUUCUGAAUCAGGGCACUAUGAAGCGCUUGGAGUUGAGCUUCUUGAGAGUUUAUCAAGAGUGGCACCGAGUGAAGAGGAAGAGAGGAAGUUGAAGAGCUAUAGUGAUGACAAGCUUCCCCCUUCAGAGAAGUUUCUCAAGGAAUUGCUUAAUGUGCCUUUCGUGUUCAGAAGGGUUGAUGCAUUGCUCUUUGUUGCUACUUUUUAUUCCAAGGUUGAACAUUUAAAACAAUCAUUUGGCGUUAUACAGGUACUAUAAUAUAACAAAGCUAAAUUUAAUGAGAGAGACGUAUGAAUCUUGUGUCUCAUAAAGCUAUCUGAUUCUUUUGCAGGCUGCUUGUGAGGAGCUACGGAACAGCAGAAUGUUACUGAAGCUUAUUGAAGUUGUCUUAGAGACAGGAACGAAGAGCGUGAAUGCUCAAGACUUCAAACUUGAGGCGUUGUUAGAUGGUUCCACCACUCUCUUGCAUUCUGUUGUAGAGAACAUCAUAGAAUCAGAAGGUAUCAAAGUGUUGCAAGUUGUCAGACAUCUCGGUUUAGUACUUGUAGACGUCAAGAAAACUGCAGAAAUGGACUAUGGUGUUCUGAGAAGCGAGGUGGCAAAGCUUUAUCAAGGAGUCCAGAGCGUUAAGGAGGUUCUGCUACUGAGUGAUGAUGAAGAACAAGAAUGUGGGGAAUUCAAGGAGACGGUGACCAAGUUCUUGGAAACCGCUGUGAAGGAGGCUAAAAAGAUUGAAACAGAAGAUGGUUCCACGCUCUUAGCAGUGAAAGAGAUCACAGAGAUGUUCCAUGGAGAUUCAGCAAAGGAAGAAGCUCAGCUAUUGAGAGUGUUUGUGAUUGUUAGAGACUUUAUGUCCAUUCUAGAUAAAGUGUGCAAGGAAAUGGAGGUUGAGUAGAGAAAGAGAGUACUCUGGUUUAGGUUUCAAGUGUAAGGAAGAUCCUAGAAUCUGUCCAAAGACUGAUGAUGAUGCAUUGUGUUGCCUCCUUAAUUAGUUAUGUGUACUUAUGUUUGUAUGAAUCAUUGGAACUAUGACUUCUUAAAUGAAGUUUUUACUUGAUUUCUGUAUCAAAGCAAAUCAAAUGUAUAAUCUCAAUCAAUGUUCAAAAAAUCGCUAGACGGUGAUUAUGCAUUUCAUAGAAGAUUACUGAUUAAGCGAGCGCUUAGACUUUUAGAACACUGAUCUCAGUGGAUAUACUUCCAUAAUACAAGCAAGGAAGAUAAACAUAGUUCAAGAGUUGUAGGUUAUUAUACCAAACCAAAUCUACCAUCAAUCAAUUUAAACAAAAUGUUAUAAACAUGGGAAAAGGCUGUCUACUUUAGUGAUUCUAAGACUAUAUGCUUGCAACUCUGAACAUAUGAGUGUGACGCCUCUCCCGCCCUCCGCCCCAACUUACGCCACUUUUCCGGCGAACAUCUCCGCCCUCGUCCUCCCUCGCUCCUCAAAACCUCACACCGCUUCAAGAACUCUCCUCAUCACACUUAUCUCCGCUGUCCUCGCCGUCGCAACAGCCAUCGGAGUAGCCUUGUUUCUCUACGGAAGGUGGAGAGGGCAGAACCGUAAUUUCAAAGACGAUUCGAAGAGCGUAGCUUCAGACAGUAAACAAGCAGCUCCAUGUCCCCUUCCAAGAAACAACACCGAACACAACAAACUCACAGUCUCUGCUUCAACAACCUCCGAUGUUCUCUACCUCGGAAACGUCGCCAAUUUCGUCAAACCGGAGUCUCCUGAGAUCUGUCCUCUCCCGCCAUUAUCCUCUCGCAGCUUCAAGCAACAAAGCUCCGAAGAAGAAGAAGACGACUUCUACUCGCCUCUCGCGUCUCAAGC